UCAUUGAAUUUCUUUAAAUUCAUGAUGUCGUAAGGGAAAAUAAUGAUAAUACCUUACUAUGAGUGUCGUCCAAAUCUGGUGCCAGAAGACUCGGUAAGACCAGAGACGCAAACGUUAAUCAUCAUAAACAGGCGUAAAGGGUUUGUAGGCAGCUUUUAUAAAAUUGUCAAAGGUAAUUUAAUUGAAAGCUAGAAUCAAAAAGAGGUUAUAGUGUAUAACGCCUAGAGGAGGGCUGAUAUCCGUAGAUCCUAGGCAGAAUACUCAGGGCGAAGGCCACUCUCCACUAAUGAUUGACGCUGAGAAACGAAGGUUAGGGUAGGAAAUAGGAUUAGAUACCCCGGUACUCCUUUCUGUAAACGAUGAAUGGUAGUCAUUAGUUUAAUUAAAAUAACUAGAGGCGAAGUUAACACAAUAACCAUUCCGCCUUGUGAGUACUACUGCAAAGUAGAAAACAAAAAAAUUAGUCGGUCUCGAAGCAAACGGAGUGAAGCAUGUUAUUUAAU
rnacentral:rRNA from 1 species